GAACAAGGAAAAAGUGUCAGCAGGCAACAAGGUGUGAACAUCAUAUCCAUCACAAAACAAGCAAAAGGUGUUCUAGGACAGCCUGAGAUGACUCCAGCUUCUCCAUGAUAACAACAUGGGGACUAGGAAGAACAUUGAGGAUCGGUCAGGCCGUCCUAACCUCACAGCAUUGACCCUCUACGACAAAGCCCGCUGUGCUUAAAGGGUAAAUACAGACACUGCAUCGUCAACAGCAUCUGGUUACUGAAGACCCUGGAUAACUCUGUGAUCGCUGACGAGGAGAAAACUGGAAACUCAGAGGGAUGCAUUGAGGACAGGUCAUGCUCUUCCUGUUUCUACGAGAACGUUGUGGUGGGAAGCUAGCUAGCAAUAUGGCAGACACAACAGGCGUGGAAGUAUUCACAGUAUUUUGAAUUGGAAGAAGAAAAUAAGAAAAACACAUGAAAUGCAAACUGCCUUUCAACUGCGAAGAACUUAACUUCAAAUAUCAAGAAGCACCUUCAGGCCAAGCAAGACUGGUGGAGAAAGACCCACGCCUGCCGAUUGCCAUUGAUGCUGAGGAUGAUGGUGCUUCUGCUCCAAAACAGCAAAAGCUAGAUUUCUGUUUGGCUAAACCUGGAACUUGAAAUGGCAUGUGUUUGAUUAUUGUAAUUCCUUUGAUUGCAUGCCAUUUGUUUCAAUGCAUUAUGUUUAGGUUUUAUCUGACAGAAGGCAUUCGUGGUCAGCAGUUUAGUGCGUAGGUUAUUUUAAUUUUCAUGUCAAAAUUUAAAGUCAGGCUUGUUGUGACUUAAUAGCCUGUAUUAAGUGGCUUUAAUGUGUAUAUUUCAUUUCAUAAAGCUGCCUAAAUGUUGGUUUGGAUUUAUGGACAAUAUUCCUUUGAUUCGUUGGAUUCAUCAAGAUAGAAUUUUGUUGUGAUGCAGCACUUUUCUUUGCAUUCAUCAUACAUUUUGAUAGUUUAAUAUGGAAUUUUGUUAGAACACUUGGACAUAAGCUAUUAUUUAUACAUUUUUAUUAUUUAUACAUUGUGUGUGUGUAUAUAUAUUUCUCCUCCAUCACACAUUUGUAUGUGGAACAGUUCCAUUUCAAUAUAGGCUACUGAACUAUAAAGGUAAAAUAAUGCAAUUUAAAAAAUACUUUGUUUAUUGCAAAAUACACGGUUCAAUUUACUAAAACAACUGUAACAACUAGGCUAUUAGGAAAUAUGACCGAGAUCUCGGUCUUGAGCUACUCUUUACAUGCCGACUAGACCGGGCACACACGUGUGUCCACCAUCGCGUGCAUGUUGAUUUUGUCCAUCCACACCAGAAGCGAUCUAGACACGCAGGAUGAAAUAUCAAAACGAACUCUGAACCAACUAUAUUGAUUUGGGGACAGGUCGAAACACAUGAAACAUUAAUGGACAUUUAGCUAGCUAGCUUGUUGUUGCUAGAUAAUUUGGA